UACGAAGGGGGGCUAGCGUUGUUCGGAAUUACUGGGCGUAAAGGGCGCGUAGGCGGCCGCCUAAGUCAGACGUGAAAUCCCUCGGCUCAACCGGGGAACUGCGUCUGAUACUGGGUGGCUUGAAUCCGGGAGAGGGAAGUGGAAUUUCGAGGUGUAGCGGUGAAAUGCGUAGAUAUCUGAAGGAACAUCAGUGGCGAAAGCGACUUCCUGGACCAAUACUGACGCUCAUGUGCGAAAGCGUGGGGAGCAAACAGG
rnacentral:rRNA from 1 species